GCAAAACGCGAAGAACCUUACCAGGGCUUAAAUGUAGAGUGACAGGACUGGAAACAGUUUUUUCUUCGGACACUUUACAAGGUGCUGCAUGGUUGUCGUCAGCUCGUGCCGUGAGGUGUCAGGUUAAGUCCUAUAACGAGCGCAACCCCUGUUGUUAGUUGCCAGCGAGUAAUGUCGGGAACUCUAACAAGACUGCCGGUGCAAACCGUGAGGAAGGUGGGGAUGACGUCAAAUCAUCACGGCCCUUACGUCCUGGGCUACACACGUGCUACAAUGGCCGGUACAGAGAGCAGCCACCUCGCGAGGGGGAGCGAAUCUAUAAAGCCGGUCACAGUUCGGAUUGGAGUCUGCAACCCGACUCCAUGAAGCUGGAAUCGCUAGUAAUCGGGUAUCAGCCAUGAUCCGGUGAAUACGUUCCCGGGUCUUGUACACACCG
rnacentral:rRNA from 1 species